rnacentral:rRNA from 1 species
CCUACGGGUGGCUGCAGUGGGGAAUAUUGGACAAUGGGGGGAACCCUGAUCCAGCCAUGCCGCGUGUGUGAAGAAGGCCCUCGGGUUGUAAAGCACUUUCAGUGAGGAAGAACGCCUGGUGGUUAAUACCCAUCAGGAAAGACAUCACUCACAGAAGAAGCACCGGCUAACUCCGUGCCAGCAGCCGCGGUAAUACGGAGGGUGCGAGCGUUAAUCGGAAUUACUGGGCGUAAAGCGCGCGUAGGUGGCUUGAUAAGCCGGUUGUGAAAGCCCCGGGCUCAACCUGGGAACGGCAUCCGGAACUGUCAAGCUAGAGUGCAGGAGAGGAAGGUAGAAUUCCCGGUGUAGCGGUGAAAUGCGUAGAGAUCGGGAGGAAGACCAGUGGCGAAGGCGGCCUUCUGGACUGACACUGACACUGAGGUGCGAAAGCGUGGGUAGCAAACAGGAUUAGAUACCCGAGUAGUC